ensembl:lncRNA UCA1 urothelial cancer associated 1
CCCCUGAGAGGCCCCACAGGCACAUCUCAGGCUGUCCUCUGGGAAGAAAUGACCCAGGAGCUGAUAUUCAUGACCCUCCAAGAGACCCGGCAGCUUGUGGGCAUCUCAGAUGAGCCCCAGGCAGUUCUGAAACCCAGGACCAGGAAAAGAUAAGAGGGUGGGCUGAGGUCACAUCACCCUGUAACGUUUCCAAAAGGGAACUGUCAGGCCUCUGAGCCGAAGCUCAGCCAUUGUAACCCCUGUGACCUGCACAUAUAUGUCCAGGUGGCCUACAGGAGCCAAGAAGUCUGGAGCAGCUGAAAAACAAGGAAGUGAAACAGCCAAUUCCUGCCUUAACUAAUUAACCCACCUUACGACAUUCCACCAUUAUGACGUGUUCCUGCCCUGCCCCAACUGAUCAAUCGACCCUGUGACAUUCUUCUGGACAAUGAGUCCCAUCAUCUCUCCACCAUGCACCUUGUGACUCCCUCCUCUGCUGACAACAGAUAACCACCUUUAACUGUAACUUUCCACAGCCUACCCCAGCCCUAUAAAGCUGCCCCUCUCCUAUCUCCCUUCGCUGACUCUCUUUUCAGACUCAGCCCACUUGCACCCAAGUGAAUUAACAGCCUUGUUGCUCACACAAAGCCUGUUUAGGUGGUCUUCUAUACGGACAUGCUUGACACUUGGUGCCAAAAUCUGGGCCAGGGGGACUCCUUCGUGAGACCGGCCCCCUGUCCUGGCCCUCAUUCCGUGAAGAGAUCCACCUGCGACCUCGGGUCCUCAGACCAGCCCAAGGAACAUCUCACCAAUUUCAAAUCGGAUCUCCUCGGCUUAGUGGCUGAAGACUGAUGCUGCCCGAUCGCCUCAGAAGCCCCUUGGACCAUCACAGAUGCCGAGCUUCGGGUAACUCUUACGGUGGAGGAUUCCCAGCCAUAUGAAGACACCCUAGCUGGACGAUCAGUCCUUGUCAAAAGUCUGACCCCUCAAACUCUACAGCCUCAAUGGACCAGACCCUACCCGGUCAUUUAUAGCACACCAACUGCCGUCCAUCUGCAGGACCCUCUCCAUUGGGUUCACCAUUCCAGAAUAAAGCCAUGCCCAUCAGACAGCCAGCUUGAUCUCUCCUCUUCCUCCUGGAAGCCACAAGAUUAGGCCGAGAGCCGAUCAGACAAACAACCUACAACCCUUAAGCUCCUGGCAGCGCCCAGCCAAGGCCAUGCUUCCUUGCAACACUCCUUCCAAAUGGCCAUCCCAGCAUGCUUCCAAGCAGGCUUCAUCCGUUCCUCUGGACCCUCAUCUCUUAAGACCUGCCGCCUAUAAAAAGGAUUAUAUCUUGAGACCCUAUCCUCUAAAAUUUUUUCCACACCCAAAACAAAAAAUCUCUGGGUCAAAAGUCUAAAACGCUUAGGCUGGCAACCAUCAGAUCCUUGCCCAUGGUGUCCUCAAGCCUACUCUCAUGAAAUGGACAACAGUACACGCAUAUGGGGCCAGUUCCACAUAUUUGGCAACCAGACCAGCAUCCAGGACAACACAAAGAUCUGCAAUCAGAACUAUUGAACUUCUCCAUUCAGACCGCCACUCACACCUAUGGGAAAAGGGUAAUGUAUCAUCGGCUUAGCAACAGGGAAUACUAUUCGUAUGAUGGAAAAUGGGGACAAAAGGCUUUGGUACAUAAAACAUUAUUCCUUCCUUGGCCUAAAAACUCAUCGCCACCUACAUUAAAGCUAAUAUGCCUGAUUACUGUUUUUAGAGAACUUAUUUUAUUAGGGCAGUUCCAAGCUCAAAAAUACGCUAACUGGCACCUUGUUAGCUACAUAAAAAUGCACCCUAGACCCGAAACUUACUAGACUCAUUAUAAAAUUUUCUUUAAGGUGUCCACGCAGUCCCUGGUCACACUUGAAGCAGUCCGGAGAAAUAUCAGCCCUACCCCAGUAAUCCCCAGAAGGAACUUACACUUUUUUUUAAUCUUUUCCUACAACUUCAUAUUUUAUAAAUAAAAAGACAAAAAUGUCAGGCCUGUGAGCUGAAGCUUAGCCAUUGUAACCCCUGUGACCUGCACAUAUCCGUCCAGGUGGCCUGCAGGAGCCAAGAAGUCUGGAGCAGCCGAAAAACCACAAAGAAGUGAAACAGCCAGUUCCUGCCUUAACUAAUUAACCCACCUUACGACAUUCCACCAUUAUGACUUGUCCACCAUUAUGACUUGUUCCUGCCCUGCCCCAACUGAUCAAUCAACCCUGUGACAUUCUUCUCCUGGACAAUGAGUCCCAUCAUCUCUCCACCAUGCACCUUGUGACCCCCUCCUCUGCUGAGGAUAACCACCUUUAACUGUAACUUUCCACGCCUACCCAAGCCCUAUAAAGCUGCCCCUCUCCUAUCUCCCUUCACUGACUCUCUUUUCGGACUCAGCCCACUUGCACCCAAGUGAAUUAACAGCCUUGUUGCUCACACAAAGCCUGAUUGGGUGUCUUCUAUACGGACACGCGUGACAGGAACCUCAACCCAAAGGCAGUCUGAUGAGGUGUCUAAGAUAAAAGUAGCGGCACAAAGGCUUUUGUAAACAGAGGCGUUUCAUGUGGUUUUCCUUUCCUUUCCUUAUAUGUGAAAAGGUGACAGAAAAGAAAUCUUCCUAAAAGAGUCAGCCACUG